rnacentral:rRNA from 1 species
UACGUAGGCAGCGAGCGUUGUUCGGAGUUACUGGGCGUAAAGGGUGUGUAGGCGGUUGUUUAAGUUUGGUGUGAAAUCUCCCGGCUCAACUGGGAGGGUGCGCCGAAUACUGAAUGACUAGAGUGCGGGAGAGGAAAGUGGAAUUCCUGGUGUAGCGGUGAAAUGCGUAGAUAUCAGGAGGAACACCGGUGGUGUAGACGGCUUUCUGGACCGUAACUGACGUUGAGACACGAAAGCGUGGGUAGCAAACAGG